UACGUAGGCAGCGAGCGUUGUUCGGAGUUACUGGGCGUAAAGCGUGCGUAGCGGUGCCAUAAGUCUGUUGUGAAAUCUCCCGGCUUAACUGGGAGGGUGCGGUGGAAACUGUGGUGCUGGAGUGUGGGAGAGGUAGGCGGAAUUCCUGGUGUAGCGGUGAAAUGCGUAGAUAUCGGAAGGAACACCAGUGGCGAAAGCGGCUUCCUGGUCCAGCACCGACGUCAGGCACGAAAGCGUGGGGAGCAAACAGG
rnacentral:rRNA from 1 species